UACGUAGGCAGCGAGCGUUGUUCGGAGUUACUGGGCGUAAAGGGUGUGUAGGCGGUUGUUUAAGUUUGGUGUGAAAUCUCCCGGCUCAACUGGGAGGGUGCGCCGAAUACUGAAUGACUAGAGUGCGGGAGAGGAAAGUGGAAUUCCUGGUGUAGCGGUGAAAUGCGUAGAUAUCAGGAGGAACACCGGUGGUGUAGACGGCUCUCUGGACCGUAACUGACGCUGAGACACGAAAGCGUGGGUAGCAAACAGG
rnacentral:rRNA from 1 species